GAGAACCUAUCAGAGAGCACUGGGUGUAAGGUACUACUCUCCUAUUGGCUGCUGUUGGAAUCAGACACAUCUUCAUUCUUCUUCCAUCCAGCCUGCUUUAACAUCCAAGCCCCAGGCAAGUGUCAGAAUUGUAGUCCAUGUCUUUUGUGUGUGUGUGUAUGUGCACGUUCAUUUCCCUGUGUGCGUGAGAGUGUGCACGUGUGUGUGUGUGCAUGUGUGUGUGUGUUGGCACUUUAGUGUGUGUGUGUGAGUGGAGUGUGCAGGUGUGUAUGUGUGCGGUAAACAUCUUAUAGACAGUGCUUAGAUACUGAGAACACUAACCCUCCUCCAAGCCUGGCCCAGACACAGACACAGUGUUGGGAAUGCUGGCAGAUUUCAAGGUAGUGUCUUCUUCCAGCUACUUCAGCAGGACAUCAUCUCAUUAUGAAUGAAAGAGACUGGCUACACCACAGUAAGCUUUAUGCAUGGAUUUGUAAUGGUGCUCACAUUUGUAACAAUGAUUUCUCACUGGCUUGCUCUAACUCUUAUUUAUUCCAGUCAUGCAUUUUAUACAACACUCGAGUGAAAUUCAGAUUUAACACCACACCAAAAUAAUACACUCAAUGAUCACACUUUAAAAAACGUGUUUGUUUUUUCCUCUUAUUCAUGUAGCGGCUGAUGUUGUUAUUACACCCCUGACAAUGGGAUUGAUGGAUGUGAAGUGGACCUGGUCAUUGAAGUGCGUUAGCAGAUCCCAGUAUGUCCCCUAGUAUUGUGAACAAGGGAUGAAACGGAGAGAAAAAAAGGUCUGAUGAGUUUGGCAAAGGGAGGACGGAGGGGGAGACAGAUGGCAUGAAGUCUGCAUGGCUCUGGCCUGGCGCUGAAAUCCUCCUCUCUCACAUUCCAACAAAUCCUAGCAGGAGGCUGGGGAGUCUGCCACGCCACUCAGUGGGUCCACAGGGUUCUCUCUGCAUCUCUCUCCUCGCUCCCCUGCACCCCCCGAUGAUGCAAGUGUUGCUGUCAGAGGAGUCCUGCUCUACAAUCCCUAUUUCAUAUAAGAGGAGUCUCUACUCUCAUCCCAAUCAUAAUGCUAUCGUCGCGGCCUCCCGGGUGGCACAGUGGUCUAAGGCACUGCACCGCAGUGCCAGAUGUGCCACCAGAGAUUCUGGGUUUGAGUCCAGGCUCUGUCGCUGCCGGGCGCGACCGGGAGGCCCAUGGGGCACAAUUGGCCUAGCGUCGUCCCUGUUAGGGAGGGUUUGGCCGUCAGGGAUGUCCUUGUCCCAUUGUGCACUAGCGACUCAUGUGGAGGGUCUGGGCGCAGUGAACGCUGAUCAGGUCGCCAGGUGUAUGGUGUUUCCUCCGACACAUUGGUGCGGCUGGCUUCCGGGUUGGAUGGGCAGUGCGGCGUGGUUGAGUUGUGUUUUGGAG